rnacentral:pre_miRNA from 1 species
UGGUGCUUUCAGCUUCUUUACAGUGCUGCCUUGUUGCAAUCAUGUCAAGCAGCAUUGUACAGGGCUAUGAAAGAGCCA